rnacentral:rRNA from 1 species
AUUGAACGCUGGCGGCAGGCCUAACACAUGCAAGUCGAGCGAGCGGCGGACGGGUGAGUAAUGUAUGGGGACUGCCCGAUAGAGGGGGAUAACUACUGGAAACGGUGGCUAAUACCGCAUACUAUCGGAUAACCCAUAUGGGAUUAGCUAGUGGGGGGGGUAAAGGCUCACCUAGGCGACGAUCUCUAGCUGGUCGGAGAGGAUGAUCGGCAAAACUGGGACUGAGAACCGGCCCAGACUCUAAGGGAGGCAGAGGUGGGGAAUAUUGCACAAUGGGCGCAAGCCGGAUGCAGCCAUGCCGCGUGUAUGAAGAAGGCCUUAGGGUUGAAAAGUACUUUCAGCGGGGAGGCGUUACCCGCAGAAGAAGCACCGGCUAACUCCGUGCCAGCCGCCGCGGUAAUAC